rnacentral:lncRNA from 13 species
AUGGUUAUGGGAAGAGGCUGUUUCUGGCACAGUGGCUGGCCGAGGCUGAAUCCCCUCCGCACCUCGCCAUGCUGGCUCCAAAGGCAGGUCUUCACAGGGCUGGCCCAGGCCCGCUUUGAUGUGGAGCAUCCAAGGCCACACUUCAGCUGCGCAUUUCCAAGCUUGCUUGCUGCCAGCAUGGCAGGGUUGAGUCGAGUUCCUCAACAGACGUGACUGCUGCUGUUUGAAGUCUGAUGACUCCCACAGAGUCACUGUCACAUUGUUUUUCCAUCCGGUUGAAGACGUUCCUGGUCCACACAGGACUUCCGUAUAAUUUGCCUGUAGUUUCUCCACUCCUAACUCUUCUUUGUAAGACUUGCUUGUAUAUCUGAACCCUGAUCUUGUACGUGCCAUGAAUUCUUUCCUCAGAAGGCUUCUGAACCCUUAAAAACUAAUGGAUUUAAGAACCAGAGGUGGGAGGAAUCAGGUCGUUUUAGCAGGAGGACAUAGCUGAACCCCAGCUCCCACCCAGCGAGAAGUCACGUUGCUCCAUGAGUUUCUGUGUUUUAGAUUAGAAUAGCCAACCACCUAACUGUGGGCCACAAAACAAAGUGCACCUGCUGCAGGGGUCCUGAAGUGAUCAGAAUCACAAGCGAAAAGGUCGUAACUUGGAACACGUUAGACGCUCAUCUGUUUCUUUAGACUGAAAUUGUCUUUUAGUGGAAUCACCUUUUUUAAAGAUAAAGUGACACUAUUGAAUUUGUUUAAUAAAAUGCUCUGUUUCAAAACA